rnacentral:rRNA from 1 species
AGAGCGAACGCUGGCGGCAGGCCUAACACAUGCAAGUCGAGCGCCCGUAGCAAUACGGGAGCGGCAGACGGGAGAGUAACACGUGGGAACGUACCCUUCAGUUCGGAACAACCCAGGGAAACUUGGGCUAAAUACCGGAUACGUCCGUAAGGAGAAAGAUUUAUCGCUGAAGGAUCGGCCCGCGUCUGAUUAGCUUGUUGGUGAGGUAACGGCUCACCAAGGCGACGAUCAGUAGCUGGUCUGAGAGGAUGAUCAGCCUCACUGGGACUGAGACACGGCCCAGACUCCUACGGGAGGCAGCAGUGGGGAAUAUUGGACAAUGGGCGCAAGCCUGAUCCAGCCAUGCCGCGUGGAUGAUGAAGGCCUUAGGGUUGUAAAAUCCUUUCGACGGGAAGAUAAUGACGGUACCGUAGAAGAACGCCCGGCUAACUUCGUGCCAGCAGCCGC